GUGCAAAAGGCUGCUGUAAAGCGGCAAUCCAUACGUUCCGCCAGUCCGUGCCAGUAUAAAGUGUCCGGAGUGCAAAUUUUAUGACACGUGCGGAUUAAAAACUCAAACUUCUCCGAAAAAAAGCAACCCGACGCAUAUUCCGGUGCCGAAAAAGUGCUAGGCACGACAGAACCAGCCUGGUGAAAGAAUAUCCUCCGUGGUGUCCGACGAUAUUGCGCGAGACCGGAACGCAUUGAUAUCCCUCCGUGGUCCAGUCGGGUCCGAUUAUCACGAAACGAACCGAAAAUUAGAAAACGGAACAGUUCCGAGUGGAAAUCGGUAGCACAAUUUCCGAGCGGGGGUGUUUCGUCAAAAAGGAAAGAGGAUAAGCGGUGCCAGAAAACAAACCGUCCCGUUGAAGAGGUCGUCCGAGCGAUUAGAACGACGUUUGCGAAGGAGGUCUUCCCCUGGAAGGCCUCUUUUUUCUGGGCUCGUUUCUUUCAAAGGCACUGACGGAGGAAGUUGUCGACUUUAGGCAUUGGUACCAGAACGGACCACAAGCAGCGGAACGCGGGAAAGCCACAUCAUUGAGGACGGGGAGGCACAAGGCGGUGUGGCCAGAGGCCAGAGGACUGUUUCGCAUGAGGCGCACUUGUCAGCCAGAGGCCCGGCGGUCUGGAACGAUCGACGUGAGGGGUGCUCAAUCUGGCGAGAGUGACGACGGCAGAGGCAAGGAGUGCGGAGAAAGGUGUUCGGAUACUUCGAGGCGGAAGCAGAUCCCUCGGAGAGACCCCCUCCAGGAACGGUCGCACUGGACGGCCAGAGGGGUCUCCAGCAGAGGGAAAGCGCUGGUGCGAAGAUCGGAAGCAGUUUGUUCGAAGCCCGACGGUAUGGAGACCGUGGUGCAGGAAGUAU